rnacentral:rRNA from 1 species
GACGAACGCUGGCGGCGUGCCUAAUACAUGCAAGUAGAACGCUGAAGGGAGGAUCUUGCUCUUCUUGGAUGAGUUGCGAACGGGUGAGUAACGCGUAGGUAACCGGCCUGGUAGCGGGGGAUAACUAUUGGAAACGAUAUCUAAUACCGCAUAAAAUUGAUUAUUGCAUGAUAAUUAAUUGAAAGAUGCAACUGCAUCACUACCAUAUGGACCUGCGUUGUAUUAGCUAGUUGGUUGGGUAACGGCUCAACAAUGCGACGGUACAUAGACUGCCCGGUCAGGAGGUCGGGCAAACUGGGAAUGGGACAAGGCCCCGAAUCCUUCGGGAGGCAGCAGUAGGGGAACUUCGGCAAUGGGGGGAACGCUGAACGCGGAACGCCGCGGGGGGGAAGAAAGUUCUCGGAUCGUAAAGCUCUGUUGUGAGAGAAGAACGGGUGUGAGAGUGGAAAGUUCACACUGUGACGGUAUCUUAACAGAAAGGGACGGCUAACUACGUG